rnacentral:lncRNA from 1 species
UCUCAAAUAUAGAAUUAGCCACAGAAAAAAGCCGGUGAUUUUAGUCAUGCUGCUUCUCUAAUUUAUUUAACAGAAUGAUGGAUCCCUGAUGCCAAAUGUCUUAACAAUUAUGGGUUAGAUCUGACUACAGAAGGCAGUACUGGUGGAUAAAGUAUCUAAAUAUCGUAUACUCCGUAUCCCUCAUUCACAUCUCUCUCAGUGAUCUGGUUUUCCAUUUACACCCUAACAGAUAAGAGAAUCACCAGAUCCCAAGAAAGGACAAACCAUUCCAUACUAUCAGAUAUGAUACAAAUUUCUCAAAUGAAAAAGUUUUAAAACAUUGCAGUUCUCCUCUUCAUUGCUGGCGGAGACCCAACAGUCGAACCAAUACUGUGAUAACUUUGACUGAAGUUCCUGCCAAGGAGAUUAUGAAGUGCACUUUGGGACCUGAGCUGAAACAAUGCCCAUCCCAUGAAUCCAAAGAAGCAGAUGAAAGCAGAGGACCUGUACGCACACUAAAGCUACAGUUUACUAUGAAGAAACUGCUCAGUCUCCCACAGUCAUAGAACCAUUGGAGUUUGGAGGGGACCUUCAAAGAUCUUCUAGUCCAACUCCUCUGCAAUGAACAGGGACACCUACAGCUUGAUCAGUUUGCUCAGAGUCCUGUCCAACCUGACCUUGAAUGUCUCCAAGGACAAAGCAUCCACCACUUCUCUGGGCAACAUCACUACCCUUACUGUAAAAACGUUUUUCUUAUAUCCAAUCCAAUGACAAAAUCAUUGACAAAGUAUCUUGCCGCUACAUGUGUAUAGGGACACAUAAAAUCUCAAGUAACAUAUGAAACAUUGUUUGUGGAAAAUAUAAUCAUCCAUCACCUAAAGGUCUACUUUUUGGCGCACUUAGAACCAACAACUCUUGCAUCUUACUCUAGUCAGCUUCAAUGCAUUUGCAGUUGCAGACACAUAAGACUGUGCCUCUGUCCUAGUAAAGAUCAAGAGUAAACAACAAUAAUAAGUGAUAACAAACCCUGGAAUCGCAGGCAUCAGCCGAGUGCAGCUUCUUUCUCCCAGCCAGGAGUCUGUUCAUGUGUGUUCAAGGCCAGCUCUGAUACAGUGCAACAGUGAACAAACUUGUAUGAGAAAGAAUUAUGAGCAGUCAUAGAAUCAUAAAAUCAUAGGCAUCAUCAUAGUCAUCUAGGGUCUGGGAGCUGCUUUUAGGCACAGGUUCCUACCACUGGUCCCUUAAGCCAUGUUGCAUUUAUAGCUGCACACAGAUGUCUAUCUUGAUUACUUGAGUUAGAUUUGUACUCCACUGUGUUUCUCUACAUUAUCUUCCUGGGUUUUGGCUACCAUGAUGAAAUAAGUCUUUGCAAAAAAGUUCAUCUCACAAAGGAACCCCUACUGGGAAUUUCCUUCCCAGUGCAGUUCUUUAGGAAGUCUAGUUUUUCAGUGAACGGAGUUUGGGUACAUGGACAUCUACUGGAGUUACAAUAUCAUGUAAUGGAUGCAGUUCAGUGUCACUUGGGCAUAAAAUUUACAACUUUGUACGAUCAGAUAAGGAUUCAUUUUUACAGGAGGCCUCUUUUUAUGCUAUUUUUGACUGUGAAAUUAAGUUAUAAAAUAGAAUCAGAACUCCAUCUUAUUAGAAGCUAUACAGCAUUCUUAUCCUGAAGGAGUCACAGUUGUGUUUGGAUGAAUCUUUGACUUUGAAAAGGACACAGCAGUUAUUUUGUGGUUCCAAGUGAAAAUUUUCUCGAUCUUAUCAUUGAAUGAGAAAUAGUAAAAACUUGUAAUGCAGAAAAUGCUGCUAUAAUUAUAUGAGCUACAUUAUAUGAGCUAUAUAAUUUAGAACCAGAACAAUAUAUUAUCACAUAAACCUGUGGAAGAAGAAUUUUCUGACAAACCUCUCAUUUCAUCAAAUAAAGAAAUUAAGGAAAGACAGUUGCAAAAGCAAGAUUGAACAGAAAAAUAUAGUGAUGGAUUACAACGGCAAAUGCUGACAUGGAUCUAGAGACAUCUCUAAUUAGUGUCAGGAAAUUUGAGUAUGUUCUCAUCCAGAGUUUUCUCUAAGCUGCACAUCUCUUAAGUAUAAAUCCCUGGGGAAUAAGACUUGUAACAUAACUGAUGGAAUAACAGUGAGAAGAAAAACAGUGUAUUCUCAAGUACACAGAGUGGAACUUGUCAUUAACAUUUACUGUCUUUUUACAAAGCCAGGUUUGCAUUUUAUAAUCAGGAUUCCAUGAACAAACCUGAGACUUCAGUGAAGAAUGGUUUUAUUUGAUCAGUUGACUGUUGAGUAACACUAAGAUAAACAAUGAACCAAUCAUUUUGUCUUACUCCUCUUUUCACUUUUGUAUGCCUGCCCCUUAUGGUGCCUGUAUACUUUUUGCCCUAUAAAGCAAUACAUUCAAAAAAAGAUUAUUCAAGGACAAUAAAAAAUAGACCUGAAUUGAUGCUUAGUUCCAAUAAUGAAAUUUCAAGAUUUGUAGUGAAGCCAUAGGUUACCAUGAGCUGAAAGAAUUGAGAUGGAGGAAAUGUUUACGUUGGAAAAGAAUACAAUGUGCUCUCCCACCAUGUGGGGUGAAGGGCAUUUUUGUGAAAUGCCCAGCUCAAGCUAUGCUGAACAAGUCAGUUUGACCAUGUGAACUCCCCCACCACCUAAAAACCUAGGGUCCUGCUCUUAUGUGCCUGAGAUUUGGGGUGGCAAAAGGGAAGAGUUGGGGGGGGGGAGCUUUCCCACUCUACUUUUUCCCCUCUUUUUUCUCAUAAUCUGUCUGGAACUCUAUCUUUUUUAAUGCAACUGUAAAACAAGCGAAAUGAAGCUGACAGCAGGUGCUGUGAUCAGUGCUGAUAUAACCCUGUCUCAGCCCUGGACAUCUGAUCAGAAUGUACGCUGUGCCUGAGGUUCUCCAGUUGUGAUUAUCUUAGUCAUACCUUAGGCAGAAACUGCAUUUUCUGUCUUGUUUCUCUUUUCUGACCCCUUCUUUGAACGUUCUUUUAUUCCUUCUGGAAAGAGGAUCAGGUUGAGUAGCAACAGAAAAGCUAGGAACUCCAAAAAAGCUCAAUUGUCUUCUCUUUUUAUUCCAGAAGAACUGUUAUUACUGUUACUAAAAGACAGUCAAAGAAGGGAGUUUCCCUAUAAGAACUCCUUGCUGCUAAGGGGGAAAGAGAUAAUAUUUAACUCUAAAUCUUUUACUCUAUAUUCACUCUACAUUUCAAGUGACUUAGCAGUUUUUCCUUUUUCAGGGUCUGUAAUCAAAGGAUAGAUUUGGAAUGCUGGUUAUUACAAUGGGAGUUUGCCAGCAAUAACUUGAAACCCAGAUAAUGCUUCACUGUUUAUGUUGUAACUGUGAGCAAGUUAUACUGACAUCUUAUCUUUUGUUGGGCACAAGAUAGGUUAUGUUCAACACAGCUCUCAUAUCACUUAGGAAAAGUAAAACUUGUUUGUCUUCUCUAUAGUUUAACAGAAGAGCGCAUUCCCAACUGCUUAUAGCCUUGCUAAGUUUUUAUUGUUUGCAUUCUGGAACCAUUCCCUGCUGUACGUAUACCUCAGAGACUUGCUCGGGAAAGCGUCAGCUAAAGCACUUCAGUCACUUCCAAGAACAAGAUUUCUAAGAAUUUUGAUUAAAAAGCUCAGAGGUGAGGAGUGUGAUAGUGGGGCUGACUGGGCAAGAACCCAUAGGGCACAGGUCCUGUGCAAAGAAUAGUAAGCAAUAACAUAAUUUAUCAUAAUGCAAACUCACUCAUAAAGAGACUGAAAUAAGGAGGCAAAAGAAACUUGAAACACUUGAACUUCAUAAUUUAUAAGAAUUUGACUUGCAACAUUAAUACUGUUCUUUUAGUGUGGUGUUUUGGUGCAUAUCAAUUUCUAAGACACUACUGCUAUAGAAAGAAAUAACGUACUUCUGUUAAUUGUGAACAUGAACCAUACUGGAGGUUGGGAAUCUUGAUGUAGACUUCAGCUUUCUGUAAUGUAGACUUUCAGCAAACCAGUAUGGAAAACAAAUGCCUGGCUAGCAAGCAACUGAAGAGUGUAAGUGUAGUUGCAAGCAACUACAGCAAGUCAAUAUUUCUGACUCACUUUUUCCAGAAUGAGAGGUCGCUCAUGGAUACAACUUUAAAUAAAACAGAAGAUGAGGCUUUAGUUUUUGCAUGUCUAGCAAAAAUAUCAUGAAAACUAUUCGUAAAUGGUGUCCUUACUUAAGUAAACUUUUGUCAGAUCUAGGCAAUUUGGCGUGCCUUUUGUUUAUAAACUUGAACUUUGAAAAGCUUCCUCUGUUUUUGUAAUUACACGGUGAAAUAAAAAGAGGAUUUCUUUUUCCAGAGUUUUGCCUUUCUCAUUUGUCUCCAAAUAUAUUACACUAUAGACAACAAAAAGACACAAUAUUUUUAUGUUUAAAAACAAAUGAGAACUUAGUCCCCAUGAGACUUUGAGCUUCUUCAAUUUCCAGUCAUAGCAGGGGGCUUAGCACCUCAAAGAAUCAAGCAUAAGAAAGUCAUGGCAUUUUCAGAGGGAAAAAAAAAAAAAAAAAAGAAUGACAUAUCUUU